rnacentral:rRNA from 1 species
AUUGAACGCUGGCGGCAUGCUUUACACAUGCAAGUCGAACGGUAACAGGGUGCUUGCACCGCUGACGAGUGGCGAACGGGUGAGUAAUGCGUCGGAACGUGCCGAGUAGUGGGGGAUAACGCAGCGAAAGUUGUGCUAAUACCGCAUACGUACUGAGGUAGAAAGUGGGGGACCUUCGGGCCUCACGCUAUUCGAGCGGCCGACGUCUGAUUAGCUAGUAGGUGAGGUAAAGGCGCACCUAGGCGACGAUCAGUAGCGGGUCUGAGAGGAUGAUCCGCCACACUGGGACUGAGACACGGCCCAGACUCCUACGGGAGGCAGCAGUGGGGAAUUUUGGACAAUGGGCGAAAGUCUGAUCCAGCCAUGCCGCGUGUCUGAAGAAGGCCUUCGGGUUGUAAAGGACUUCUGUCGGGGAGGAAAUCCCCAGCGCUAAUACCGCUGGGGGAUGACAGUACCUGAAGAAUAAGCACCGGCUAACUACGUGCCAGCAGCCGCGGUAACAC